rnacentral:rRNA from 1 species
UACCAGCACCCCGAGUGGUCGGGACGAUUAUUGGGCCUAAAGCAUCCGUAGCCGGUCCUGCAAGUCUUCCGUUAAAUCCAGCCGCUCAACGGUUGGGCUGCGGAGGAUACUACGUGGCUAGGAGGCGGGAGAGGCAAGCGGUACUCAGUGGGUAGGGGUAAAAUCCUUUGAUCCAUUGAAGACCACCAGUGGCGAAGGCGGCUUGCCAGAACGCGCUCGACGGUGAGGGAUGAAAGCUGGGGGAGCAAACCGG